UUAUAUUUAUGCUUCGUCGUCUUCUUUCGUCCGUCUGAUCUCUCUCUGUGAUUCUCUCAUCGACGACGGUGGCACAGAAGAAUCAAAUCCUCUUUUACUUAAUUUCCUAUUACGUUUCUUUAUGGAUCGGUGUGGUUUAUCUCUCUACCCUAAGAACGAUUCGUUGAGAAGGCGUUUUGAGUAAUGGAUUCUGCAAAGAGGUUUAGGGUUUAAUGUCCUCCCAAGAUAUAAUGGCUCUGAUGAUGUCGCUCGACGUGGAAACUGAUCAAACAGAGGAAUUAAACAGUACAAACAGAGCAGAUCGAUGAUGGAUGGUUCUACUGACCAGAGAUGAAUUAAAAAAGAAUCGAAAGCUACUACUGGUAAUAACAAGUCAACCUCACUAGUCACUACUCUAACUGCGCCAAGAAUCCACACAUAUCCACAUGCGUAAUCUUCAAUUGCGCUUACCAAGUUACCAUCCCAUGAAGAACGUGAGGUCAAUUUCUAUCCUUUUUUUUUUUUUUUAAGUUUCAAUUAAGAUUUUUGUUUUUUUUUCUUCUUGAUACUAAGUUUACAAAUCAACGUAAAAGCUAACCGAAUUUUGGAUCCAGUCAUUUGGUUGAUUGUUAGAAAUUCCACAAAUUCAAUUUGUUUUUGCAUCGUGAUGUAGACUUAGCAUUAAAGUUUUA